GAAUAUUGGACAAUGGGGGCAACCCUGAUCCAGCAAUGCCGCGUGUGUGAAGAAGGCCUGCGGGUUGUAAAGCACUUUCAGAGGGGAAGAAAAAAUCGGAUCCAACACAUCCGAUCUUGACGUUACCCUUAGAAGAAGCACCGGCUAACUCCGUGCCAGCAGCCGCGGUAAUACGGAGGGUGCAAGCGUUAAUCGGAAUUACUGGGCGUAAAGCGCACGUAGGCGGUGUGUUAAGUUGGAUGUGAAAGCCCCGGGCUCAACCUAGGAAUUGCAUUCAAAACUGGCACGCUAGAGUAUGUGAGAGGGGGGUAGAAUUCCAAGUGUAGCGGUGAAAUGCGUAGAGAUUUGGAGGAAUACCAGUGGCGAAGGCGGCCCCCUGGCACAAUACUGACGCUCAGGUGCGAAAGCGUGGGGAGCAAACAGG
rnacentral:rRNA from 1 species